GCGGAUGAGUGGAGCUUGCUCCAUGAUUCAGCGGCGGACGGGUGAGUAAUGCCUAGGAAUCUGCCUGGUAGUGGGGGACAACGUUUCGAAAGGAACGCUAAUACCGCAUACGUCCUACGGGAGAAAGUGGGGGAUCUUCGGACCUCACGCUAUCAGAUGAGCCUAGGUCGGAUUAGCUAGUUGGUGAGGUAAAGGCUCACCAAGGCGACGAUCCGUAACUGGUCUGAGAGGAUGAUCAGUCACACUGGAACUGAGACACGGUCCAGACUCCUACGGGAGGCAGCAGUGGGGAAUAUUGGACAAUGGGCGAAAGCCUGAUCCAGCCAUGCCGCGUGUGUGAAGAAGGUCUUCGGAUUGUAAAGCACUUUAAGUUGGGAGGAAGGGCAGUAAGCUAAUACCUUGUUGUUUUGACGUUACCGACAGAAUAAGCACCGGCUAACUUCGUGCCAGCAGCCGCGGUAAUACGAAGGGUGCAAGCGUUAUCGGAAUUACUGGGCUAAAGCGGGCGUAGGUGGUUGUUAAGUGGGAUGUGAAAGCCCCCGGGCUCCACUUGGGAACUGCAUCCAAACUGGCAAGGUAGAGUACGGUAGAGGUGGUGGAAUUUCCUGUGUAGCGGUGAAAUGCGUAGAUAUAGGAAGGAAACACCAGUGGAGAAGGCGACCACCUGGACUGAUACUGACACUGAGGUGCGAAAAGCGUGGGGAAGCAAACAGGAUUAGAUACCCUGGUAGUCCACGCCGUA
rnacentral:rRNA from 1 species